rnacentral:rRNA from 1 species
GACGAACGCUGGCGGCGUGCCUAAUACAUGCAAGUUGAGCGCUGAAGGUUGGUACUUGUACCGACUGGAUGAGCAGCGAACGGGUGAGUAACGCGUGGGGAAUCUGCCUUUGAGCGGGGGACAACAUUUGGAAACGAAUGCUAAUACCGCAUAAAAACUUUAAACACAAGUUUUAAGUUUGAAAGAUGCAAUUGCAUCACUCAAAGAUGAUCCCGCGUUGUAUUAGCUAGUUGGUGAGGUAAAGGCUCACCAAGUCGAUGAUACAUAGCCGACCUGAGAGGGUGAUCGGCCACAUUGGGACUGAGACACGGCCCAAACUCCUACGGGAGGCAGCAGUAGGGAAUCUUCGGCAAUGGACGAAAGUCUGACCGAGCAACGCCGCGUGAGUGAAGAAGGUUUUCGGAUCGUAAAACUCUGUUGGUAGAGAAGAACGUUGGUGAGAGUGGAAAGCUCAUCAAGUGACGGUAACUACCCAGAAAGGGACGGCUAACUACGUG